rnacentral:rRNA from 1 species
AGAGUUUGAUCCUGGCUCAGGAUGAACGCUAGCUACAGGCUUAACACAUGCAAGUCGAGGGGCAGCAUGGUCUUAGCUUGCUAAGGCCGAUGGCGACCGGCGCACGGGUGAGUAACACGUAUCCAACCUGCCGUCUACUCUUGGACAGCCUUCUGAAAGGAAGAUUAAUACAAGAUGGCAUCAUGAGUCCGCAUGUUCACAUGAUUAAAGGUAUUCCGGUAGACGAUGGGGAUGCGUUCCAUUAGAUAGUAGGCGGGGUAACGGCCCACCUAGUCUUCGAUGGAUAGGGGUUCUGAGAGGAAGGUCCCCCACAUUGGAACUGAGACACGGUCCAAACUCCUACGGGAGGCAGCAGUGAGGAAUAUUGGUCAAUGGGCGAGAGCCUGAACCAGCCAAGUAGCGUGAAGGAUGACUGCCCUAUGGGUUGUAAACUUCUUUUAUAUGGGAAUAAAGUGGUCCACGUGUGGAUUUUUGUAUGUACCAUAUGAAUAAGGAUCGGCUAACUCCGUGCCAGCAGCCGCGGUAAUACGGAGGAUCCGAGCGUUAUCCGGAUUUAUUGGGUUUAAAGGGAGCGUAGAUGGAUGUUUAAGUCAGUUGUGAAAGUUUGCGGCUCAACCGUAAAAUUGCAGUUGAUACUGGAUAUCUUGAGUGCAGUUGAGGCAGGCGGAAUUCGUGGUGUAGCGGUGAAAUGCUUAGAUAUCACGAAGAACUCCGAUUGCGAAGGCAGCUCACUGGAGUGUAACUGACGCUGAUGCUCGAAAGUGUGGGUAUCAAACAGGAUUAGAUACCCUGGUAGUCCACACAGUAAACGAUGAAUACUCGCUGUUUGCGAUAUACAGUAAGCGGCCAAGCGAAAGCAUUAAGUAUUCCACCUGGGGAGUACGCCGGCAACGGUGAAACUCAAAGGAAUUGACGGGGGCCC